rnacentral:rRNA from 1 species
ACGAACGCUGGCGGCGUGGAUAAGACAUGCAAGUCGAACGGGAGAAUUGCUAGCUUGCUAAUAAUUCUCUAGUGGCGCACGGGUGAGUAACACGUGAGUAACCUGCCUCUUAGUGGGGGAUAGCCCUGGGAAACCGGGAUUAAUACCGCAUACGAUUGAAAGAUCAAAGCAGCAAUGCGCUAGGAGAUGGGCUCGCGGCCUAUUAGUUAGUUGGUGAGGUAACGGCUCACCAAGGCGAUGACGGGUAGCCGGUCUGAGAGGAUGUCCGGCCACACUGGAACUGAGACACGGUCCAGACACCUACGGGUGGCAGCAGUCGAGAAUCAUUCACAAUGGGGGCAACCCUGAUGGUGCGACGCCGCGUGGGGGAAUGAAGGUCUUCGGAUUGUAAACCCCUGUCAUGUGGGAGCAAAUUAAAAAGAUAGUACCACAAGAGGAAGAGACGGCUAACUCUGUGCCAGCAGCCGCGGUAAUACAGAGGUCUCAAGCGUUGUUCGGAAUCACUGGGCGUAAAGCGUGCGUAGGCUGUUUCGUAAGUCGUGUGUGAAAGGCAGGGGCUCAACCCCUGGAUUGCACAUGAUACUGCGAGACUAGAGUAAUGGAGGGGGAACCGGAAUUCUCGGUGUAGCAGUGAAAUGCGUAGAUAUCGAGAGGAACACUCGUGGCGAAGGCGGGUUCCUGGACAUUAACUGACGCUGAGGCACGAAGGCCAGGGGAGCGAAAGGGAUUAGAUACCCCUGUAGUCCUGGCAGUAAACGGUGCACGCUUGGUGUGCGGGGAAUCGACCCCCUGCGUGCCGGAGCUAACGCGUUAAGCGUGCCGCCUGGGGAGUACGGUCGCAAGAUUAAAACUCAAAGAAAUUGACGGGGACCCGCACAAGCGGUGGAGUAUGUGGCUUAAUUCGAUGCAACGCGAAGAACCUUACCUGGGCUUGACAUGUAAUGAACAACAUGUGAAAGCAUGCGACUCUUCGGAGGCGUUACACAGGUGCUGCAUGGCCGUCGUCAGCUCGUGUCGUGAGAUGUUUGGUUAAGUCCGGCAACGAGCGCAACCCCUGUUGCCAGUUACCAGCACGUCAAGGUGGGGACUCUGGCGAGACUGCCCAGAUCAACUGGGAGGAAGGUGGGGACGACGUCAGGUCAGUAUGGCCCUUAUGCCCAGGGCUGCACACGUACUACAAUGCCCAGUACAGAGGGGGCCGAAGCCGCGAGGCGGAGGAAAUCCUGAAAACUGGGCCCAGUUCGGACUGUAGGCUGCAACCCGCCUACACGAAGCCGGAAUCGCUAGUAAUGGCGCAUCAGCUACGGCGCCGUGAAUACGUUCCCGGGUCUUGUACACACCGCCCGUCACAUCAUGGAAGCCGGUCGCACCCGAAGUAUCUGAAGCCAACCGCAAGGAGGCAGGGUCCUAAGGUGAGACUGGUAACUGGGAUG